rnacentral:lncRNA from 10 species
GUGAGUGAGUGAGAAGCCCCAGGGACCCAUGCUUCUCCCAUGGAUCUUUGCAACCCAUGAGUCAGGAGAUCCCCUCAUGAAUCCACUCCACCAGGGUCUUCAGUCUGAUAUGCAGGGCUACAUGGAGUCCUGGCAGAGCAGCUGCUCAGGUACACUUGGAGCCCCAGAAGCUUUAGAUACCCAGGCUUUUCAGCAAAAGCAGCUGCAACUCUGGCAAAGCAGGAGGUUAGACCUUCAUACAUACUCCUAGGAAAGGGGCUAAAUCUAGGGGAUGAGGCAGCUAUGGUCUGCAGGCCCCACUUCCACAGCAUCUUGCAGGAUAAGACUCACUGGCUUGGAAGUUCAGCCAGCCACGGGUAGCAGUGUUACACCUCCCUGUAACUGGGCUUCCAGAGGGAGGGGCGGGCCACUGUAUUUACUAUUGUGCAGCCUUAGCCACUGUUGCCCUUGUGCUCUGGGAAAUCUGAGUUAACUGAAGACAGGAGUAGUCCCCCAGCACAGUGCAGCAACUCUGUGGAGAGGUGACCAGACUGCUUUUCCACGUAGAGGAGCGUCUCCCCAUAGCCACCACCGCAAAAGGCCCAUGGGCAGUACUGUCAGCUUAUCACCAAUGUUCACUGAAGGCCCAAGGACUCUUCAAUCAGCUUGUGGUGAAUGCUGCCAGGCCUGGGACUCACCCUUCAGGUC